GACGAACGCUGGCGGCGUGCUUAACACAUGCAAGUCGAACGGAAAGGCCCUGCUUUUGUGGGGUGCUCGAGUGGCGAACGGGUGAGUAACACGUGAGUAACCUGCCCUUGACUUUGGGAUAACUUCAGGAAACUGGGGCUAAUACCGGAUAGGAGCUCCUGCUGCAUGGUGGGGGUUGGAAAGUUUCGGCGGGUGGGGAUGGACUCGCGGCUUAUCAGCUUGUUGGUGGGGUAGUGGCUUACCAAGGCUGUGACGGGUAGCCGGCCUGAGAGGGUGACCGGCCACAUUGGGACUGAGAGACGGCCCAGACUCCUACGGGAGGCAGCAGUGGGGAAUAUUGCACAAUGGGCGGGAGUCUGAUGCAGCAACGCCGCGUUCGGGAUGACGGCCUUCGGGUUGUAAACCGCUUUCGCCUGUGACGAGGCGUGAGUGACGGUAAUGGGUAAAGAAGCACCGGCUAACUACGUG
rnacentral:rRNA from 1 species